ACGAACGCUGGCGGCGUGCUUAACACAUGCAAGUCGCACGGAAAGGCCCUGCUUUUGUGGGGUGCUCGAGUGGCGAACGGGUGAGUAACACGUGAGUAACCUGCCCUUGACUUUGGGAUAACUUCAGGAAACUGGGGCUAAUACCGGAUAGGAGCUCCUGCUGCAUGGUGGGGGUUGGAAAGUUUCGGCGGUUGAGGAUGGACUCGCGGCUUAUCAGCUUGUUGGUGGGGUAGUGGCUUACCAAGGCUUUGACGGGUAGCCGGCCUGAGAGGGUGACCGGCCACAUUGGGACUGAGAUACGGCCCAGACUCCUACGGGAGGCAGCAGUGGGGAAUAUUGCACAAUGGGCGGAAGCCUGAUGCAGCAACGCCGCGUGCGGGAUGACGGCCUUCGGGUUGUAAACCGCUUUCGCCUGUGACGAAGCGUGAGUGACGGUAAUGGGUAAAGAAGCACCGGCUAACUACGUG
rnacentral:rRNA from 1 species